rnacentral:rRNA from 1 species
CGCGGCCUAUCAGCUUGUUGGUGAGGUAGUGGCUCACCAAGGCGAUGACGGGUAGCCGGCCUGAGAGGGCGACCGGCCACACUGGGACUGAGAUACGGCCCAGACUCCUACGGGAGGCAGCAGUGGGGAAUAUUGCACAAUGGGCGAAAGCCUGAUGCAGCAACGCCGCGUGCGGGAUGACGGCCUUCGGGUUGUAAACCGCUUUCACCAGGGGCGAAUUUGACGGUACCUGGAGAAGAAACACCGGCUAACUACGUGCCAGCAGCCGCGGUGAUACGUAGGGUGCGAGCGUUGUCCGGAUUUAUUGGGCGUAAAGAGCUCGUAGGUGGUUUGUUGCGUCGGAAGUGAAAACACAGGGCUUAACUCUGUGCUUGCUUUCGAUACGGGCAGACUUGAGGAAGGUAGGGGAGAACGGAAUUCCUGGUGGAGCGGUGGAAUGCGCAGAUAUCAGGAGGAACACCGGUGGCGAAGGCGGUUCUCUGGGCAUUACCUGACGCUGAGGAGCGAAAGCAUGGGGAGCGAACAGGAUUAGAUACCCUGGUAGUCCAUGCCGUAAACGUUGGGCGCUAGGUGUGGGGACCUUCCACGGUCUCCGUGCCGCAGCUAACGCUUUAAGCGCCCCGCCUGGGGAGUACGG